rnacentral:rRNA from 1 species
UAUUGGGCAAUGGAGGCAACUCUGACCCAGCCAUGCCGCGUGAAGGAUGAAGGUCCUACGGAUUGUAAACUUCUUUUAUUAGGGAAGAACAUCUCGAAUUCAUUCGGGACUGACGGUACCUAAAGAAUAAGCACCGGCUAACUCCGUGCCAGCAGCCGCGGUAAUACGGAGGGUGCAAGCGUUAUCCGGAUUCACUGGGUUUAAAGGGUGCGUAGGUGGAUUUAUAAGUCAGUGGUGAAAGCCCCGAGCUCAACUUGGGAAUUGCCAUUGAUACUGUAGAUCUUGAGUGCGGUUGAGGUAGGCGGAAUGUUGCAUGUAGCGGUGAAAUGCUUAGAUAUGCAACAGAACACCAAUUGCGAAGGCAGCUUACCAAGCCGAUACUGACACUGAUGCACGAAAGCGUGGGGAUCAAACA